rnacentral:rRNA from 1 species
GCACAAGCGGUGGAGCAUGUGGUUUAAUUCGACGCAACGCGAAGAACCUUACCUGGGCUCGAAAUGUACAGGAAUCCGGUAGAAAUAUCGGCGUCCCGCAAGGGACCUGUAUAUAGGUGCUGCAUGGCUGUCGUCAGCUCGUGUCGUGAGAUGUUGGGUUAAGUCCCGCAACGAGCGCAACCCUUACCUCCAGUUGCUACCAUUUAGUUGAGCACUCUGGCGGAACCGCCUCGGAUAACGGGGAGGAAGGUGGGGAUGACGUCAAGUCCUCAUGGCCUUUAUGUCCAGGGCUACACACGUGCUACAAUGGUCGGUACAAACCGUCGCAAACCCGUGAGGGGGAGCUAAUCGGAAAAAGCCGACCUCAGUUCGGAUCGUAGUCUGCAACUCGACUACGUGAAGCUGGAAUCGCUAGUAAUCGCGGAUCAGAAUGCCGCGGUGAAUACGUUCCCGGGC